UUUAUACUUUCUCCGUCUGAAAAUACUUGUCGGCGUAAUGGAUGUAUGUAGACAUAUGUUAGCUCUAGAUACAUCCAUUUUUAUCCAUUUCUUUGACAAGUAUUUCUGAACGGAGGGAGUAUCUG
rfam:Triticum aestivum genome assembly, contig: Triticum_aestivum_CS42_TGACv1_scaffold_328625_4BS